CACCGGCGGCUCGAGUGGUGGCCACUUUUAUUGGGUCUAAAACGUCCGUAGCCGGCUUGGCAAGUCCCCUGGGAAAUCUGGCGGCUUAACCGUCAGGCGUCCAGAGGAUACUGCCAGGCUUGGGACCGGGAGAGGUGAGAGGUACCUCAGGGGUAGGGGUGAAAUCCUGUAAUCCCGGGAGGACCACCGGUGGCGAAGGCGCUCGGCUGGAACGGGUCCGACGGUGAGGGACGAAGGCCAGGGGAGCGAACCGG
rnacentral:rRNA from 1 species